CCACAUUCGACGAUUGGGAGAGUAGCUGGCUGUUCUAGUCCAAGCGAGCCGGGAGGGUGGAAACCGGUACAGGGCUUCCAGUGAAACGGACCCAUGAGAAUGGUUGCUGAACAUGAGUCGAGUAAGCAGCCACGGCCCAAGACCGUUAUCCUUCAGAGUGGUUAAACAUGAAGUUUAACAACAAGAGUGGUACCGCGAGCGCGUAAUGCCUUCGUCUCUUUG
rnacentral:ncRNA from 1 species